UACGGGGGGGGCAAGCGUUGUUCGGAAUUACUGGGCGUAAAGGGCUCGUAGGCGGCCAACUAAGUCAGACGUGAAAUCCCUCGGCUUAACCGGGGAACUGCGUCUGAUACUGGAUGGCUUGAGUUUGGGAGAGGGAUGCGGAAUUCCAGGUGUAGCGGUGAAAUGCGUAGAUAUCGGAAGGAACACCAGUGGCGAAAGCGGCCACCUGGACCAACACUGACACUUAGGUGCGAAAGCGUGGGGAGCAAACAGG
rnacentral:rRNA from 1 species